GCCAGGCAUGGUGGCCCAUGCCUAUAAUUCUUGCUACUGGGUUGGCAGAAACUGGUGGAUUACUUGAACUUGAGAGUUCUGAACUUCAGGAAGGCUGUGCCGAUAAGGUGUCUGCAUCAAAUCUGGCACCAACAAUGAUGAGUCUCCAGGAGCAGGGGUCCCUCAGGCUGCCAAGGAAGGGGUGUACCAAUCCAUGUCAGAAAUGGAGCAGGUCACAACUCCUGUGUUGUUCAGUAGUGGGAUUGGCCUCUAAGUAGUCUCUGCACUUCCAGCUUGGCAAAGGGAGACUUGAUCUUAA
rnacentral:SRP_RNA from 1 species